ACCGGCGCACGGGUGCGUAACGCGUAUGCAAUCUACCUUUUGCAGAGGGAUAGCCCAGAGAAAUUUGGAUUAAUACCUCAUAGUAUAGUUUUUUCGCAUGAAUUUACUAUUAAAGUCACAACGGCGAAAGAUGAGCAUGCGUCCCAUUAGCUUGUUGGUAAGGUAACGGCUUACCAAGGCUACGAUGGGUAGGGGUCCUGAGAGGGAGAUCCCCCACACUGGUACUGAGACACGGACCAGACUCCUACGGGAGGCAGCAGUGAGGAAUAUUGGACAAUGGGCGCAAGCCUGAUCCAGCCAUGCCGCGUGCAGGAUGACGGUCCUAUGGAUUGUAAACUGCUUUUGCACAGGAAGAAACAACAUUACGUGUAAUGUCUUGACGGUACUGUGAGAAUAAGGAUCGGCUAACUCCGUGCCAGCAGCCGCGGUAAUACGGAGGAUCCAAGCGUUAUCCGGAAUCAUUGGGUUUAAAGGGUCCGUAGGCGGUCAGAUAAGUCAGUGGUGAAAGCCCAUCGCUCAACGGUGGAACGGCCAUUGAUACUGUCUGACUUGAAUUAUUAGGAAGUAACUAGAAUAUGUAGUGUAGCGGUGAAAUGCUUAGAGAUUACAUGGAAUACCAAUUGCGAAGGCAGGUUACUACUAAUGGAUUGACGCUGAUGGACGAAAGCGUGGGUAGCGAACAGGAUUAGA
rnacentral:rRNA from 1 species